GGGUCAUUCAGGACAGAGUUAAAUUCUGACCCUUUUAUCUCAAAACUUUGUUCUUUUAGCUCUUGUAUUCAGGAAAUAACUAAAGAAUAGAUUUAAUGUUAAAUUUUAGUAAUGCAAACACACUUGUAAAGAGCAGUUGGCUUCCCCCUUACCAGCACAUAUAAUGUGUAAUGUACCCCCAAAACAAAAUAGACAUGACUUUUGGAUUAUAUUAUGAUUUCAAAUAUAUGCGCUUCAUAGCUCACUUCAUUCCAAGAAUCACGAGAAACAAAAAUAAAUAAAUCAUUAUCCAAAGUACAUGUAUGAAGGCACAAAUUGGGUGUCAACCUACUUUAUAUAAAAACAGAGAUAUGAAAAAUUGUGGUAUAUAUGUGUAGUAAGAAUUAUAAUGCAAAAUACCAAGUUAUGUAUAAAGACAUGAAUUGGUGUGAACAUACUUUAUACAAAGAUAUGAAAAAUUGUGGUCUAUAUGUGUAAUAAGAAUUGUAAUACAUUCUGCUGUCGUGUAUUUAAAAAAAUAAAAUCAAUUUAAAAAAUCCAAAAAAAAGAAAAAAAAUGAAUAAAUUGUAGCCCUCCUCCCCUAGAAGCUUAGAAGACUUUUGAAAAUAAUGAUAAAAUGAUACCAAUGUCUAUCAGUCUUCACCAAAAAAAACAUGUUUUUGUGAGUUUAGAGCAGAGUAAGAACAUCUCAAAGUGAGGAAAUGAUUGGAAGCCACUGGAAGAGGGGUCAAGGAGGGUCUCUGCAUUUUAUGAGAGUAGUUUCCUGCUGAGAUUGUCCAAGUGUCCAUCCUUUUGGGGACAACAGCAUUUCAAAAGCACACUUGAGCCCAGGCCAAAGGGGAAGAAGAGAGACGCAGAGGUUUGUGUCCAAAUUCUG
rnacentral:lncRNA from 1 species